rnacentral:rRNA from 1 species
AUUGAACGCUGGCGGCAGGCUUAACACAUGCAAGUCGAGCGGAGAUGAGGUGCUUGCACCUUAUCUUAGCGGCGGACGGGUGAGUAAUGCUUAGGAAUCUGCCUAUUAGUGGGGGACAACAUUCCGAAAGGAAUGCUAAUACCGCAUACGUCCUACGGGAGAAAGCAGGGGAUCUUCGGACCUUGCGCUAAUAGAUGAGCCUAAGUCGGAUUAGCUAGUUGGUGGGGUAAAGGCCUACCAAGGCGACGAUCUGUAGCGGGUCUGAGAGGAUGAUCCGCCACACUGGGACUGAGACACGGACCAGACUCCUACGGGAGGCAGCAGUGGGGAAUAUUGGACAAUGGGGGGAACCCUGAUCCAGCCAUGCCGCGUGUGUGAAGAAGGCCUUUUGGUUGUAAAGCACUUUAAGCGAGGAGGAGGCUACUAGUACUAAUACUACUGGAUAGUGGACGUUACUCGCAGAAUAAGCACCGGCUAACUCUGUGCCAGCCGCCGCCGUAAAAC